AUUGAACGCUGGCGGCAGGCCUAACACAUGCAAGUCGAGCGGAGCGGCGGACGGGUGCGUAAUGCCUAGGAAUCUGCCUGGUAGUGGGGGAUAACGUCCGGAAACGGGCGCUAAUACCGCAUACUAUCAGAUGCGCCUAGGUCGGAUUAGCUAGUUGGGGGGGUAACGGCUCACCAAGGCGACGAUCCCUAGCUGGUCUGAGAGGAUGACCAGCCACACUGGAACGGAGAAACGGUCCAGAUUCCUACGGGAGGCAGCAGGGGGGAAUAUGGCACAAUGGGGGCAAGCCGGAUGCAGCCAUGCCGCGUGUAUGAAGAAGGCCUUCGGGUUGUAAAGUACUGUCAGCGGGGAGGCGUUACCCGCAGAAGAAGCACAGGCUAACUCCGUGCCAGCAGCCGCGGUAAUAC
rnacentral:rRNA from 1 species